AAGGAAUAGAGAAUACAUUUGCAAUCGAAGCGAGUAUAGUGUAUCCAUGAUUCGAAUUCGUAUUUUUCUGUGUACCGUAUAAAAUUGAAUGUAUGUUAGUUUUUUUUUUAUGAAAUUUCCAACGUUAUUAAAAAAAAUAUAAUAAAAAUUUUGAUGGCCUUGGCAAUAUCGCACCACCAUUGCCAACAAUGACAGACUUGUUUUCGGAUUCUAAUGAAACACUCUCAUUUUCGUAGAAUAAUAAUAUAUUGCGUAUAGCGUUUUCUAUUUAUUAUUAUUGAGUUUGCCGUUGUUUCGGAGACCUUCGGAGAAUUUCAUUGGAAUCGAUGUUGUAUUAUCCAUUUUGGCAAAUAUUUGACGAGAUUCGGAACUCUGCCGUCCCUCGGGGCCACUUUAUAAUAUCAUUCUCGGUUUUUGGUUUCCCUAAAUCGCCAACGCGGGAAUCGUAAAACGUCAAAACGCGGUAUACGUCAUAUCGUACAGCACAAUAUUUUCGCGAUUUUCGCACGUUCAUAAGACAACACCCGUAGAACGGACAGGCACUUGUUAAAAUAUUGAAAUUCC